CCCUCGUUCCCCCCUUCUCUCUCUUCCGGUUCCUUCUAACCCCUCCCAAUCUUUACGGUUGAAGCCCUAACUCGCGAUCGGGGCGGUGCCUUUUCGGUUUCCACUUGGUUUCUACGCCGGUGACCGAUCGAUUCGUCUGCCGAUUCCGUCGCUGGAUUUGGGGAAAAGGGUCGGUGCUUCCGGCCGGCUGCGGCGGCGAGGAUGAGCGCCCAGAAGAAGCGCAACUUCAAGAUCGAGGCGUUCAAGCACCGGGUCGAGCUCGACCCCAACUACGCCGAGAGGACAUGGAGGGUGUUGGAGCAUGCGAUCCACGAGAUUUACAACCACAACGCCAGCGGCCUCUCCUUCGAGGAGCUCUAUAGAAAUGCUUACAAUAUGGUGCUGCACAAAUAUGGGGAAAAGCUCUACUCUGGACUUGUGAAUACUAUGACAGGACAUCUAAAAGAAAUUGCAAGAUCAAUAGAAGCUGCUCAAGGAGGUUUCUUUUUAGAGGAGCUUAAUGUAAAAUGGGGAGACCACAACAAGGCAUUGCAGAUGAUCCGAGACAUACUGAUGUACAUGGAUAGGACAUUUGUUCCCAGUAAUCACAAGACACCCGUUCAUGAGCUUGGACUUAAUCUCUGGAGGGAUAAUAUCAUCCAUUCCAGCAAAAUCCAGACCAGGCUACUGGAUAUGCUUCUUGACCUCAUUUAUAGGGAGAGAACAGGCGAGGUAAUAAAUAGAGGGUUGAUGAGGAAUAUAACAAAAAUGUUAAUGGAUCUUGGAUCUUCUGUGUAUCAAGAAGAUUUUGAGAAACCAUUUCUAGGGGUCUCAGCUAGUUUUUACAGUGUAGAAUCUCAACAACUCAUCGAGUGCUGUGAUUGUGGUGAGUACCUCAGGAAAGCUGAGAGACGUCUUAAUGAAGAGAUCGAGAGGGUCUCACACUACUUAGAUGUCAAAAGUGAAGUGAAAAUAACUAGUGUAGUGGAGGGAGAGAUGAUUGCCAACCACAUGCAGAGGCUGGUCCACAUGGAGAAUUCUGGUCUUGUGAGUAUGCUUGUAGAUGACAAGUACGAAGACUUAAGCAGAAUGUACAACUUAUUCCGCCGAGUUCCCGAUGGGCUUUCAACUAUUAAAGAUGUGAUGACUUCUCACCUUCGAGAAACUGGAAAGCAGUUAGUAAGCGACCCUGAGAAAUUAAAGGACCCAGUGGACUUUGUACAACAUCUUUUGGAUGAGAAGGAUAAGUAUGAUAAGAUAAUACGCAAAGCAUUCAACAAUGAUAAGACAUUCCAGAAUGCUUUGAACUCUUCAUUUGAAUACUUUAUUAACCUAAACAACAGGUCUCCUGAGUUCAUAUCACUUUAUGUUGAUGAUAAGCUUCGCAAAGGGCUCAAAGGGGUAAGUGAGGAGGAUGUGGAGGUAGUUCUGGACAAAGUGAUGAUGUUGUUUCGGUACUUGCAAGAGAAGGAUGUAUUUGAGAAAUAUUACAAACAACACUUGGCAAAGCGGCUUCUUUCAGGAAAAUCUGUUUCCGAUGAUACAGAGAGAAGUAUGAUUGUUAAGCUCAAGACAGAAUGUGGGUAUCAGUUCACUUCUAAAUUGGAAGGCAUGUUUACAGACAUGAAGACUUCCAUAGAUACUAUGCAAGGAUUCUAUUCUAGUCAGUAUUCUGAGAUUGGAGAUGGCCCCACCCUUGCUGUGCAAGUUCUUACAACUGGUUCAUGGCCAACACAGCCUAGUGCACCUUGCAACCUUCCAGCUGAAAUUCUUGUCAUAUGUGAGAAGUUCCGGACAUUUUAUCUUGGGACGCAUACUGGGCGUAGAUUGACAUGGCAAACAAAUAUGGGUACAGCUGAUAUUAAGGCAACCUUUGGCAAGGGCCAGAAGCAUGAGCUGAAUGUUUCGACAUAUCAAAUGUGUAUUCUUAUGCUAUAUAACUCCACAGAUCAGUUGACGUACAGAGAAAUAGAACAGGCUACAGAAAUCCCACCUUCUGAUCUGAAGCGUUGUCUUCAGUCUCUUGCUUGUGUCAAAGGUAAGAAUGUCCUGCGCAAGGAGCCAAUGAGCAAGGAUAUAGCUGAGGAUGAUGCUUUCUACUUCAAUGACAAAUUUAUGAGUAAGUUUUUCAAGGUGAAGAUAGGAACUGUGGCAGCACAAAAGGAGUCAGAGCCAGAGAAGCAGGAGACUCGCCAAAGAGUGGAAGAAGAUAGAAAACCACAGAUUGAAGCUGCAAUUGUGAGGAUUAUGAAAUCCCGAAGGGUAUUAGAUCAUAACACCAUUGUCACUGAGGUCACGUCACAAUUGCAAUCUCGCUUCCUGCCAAACCCGGUUAUUAUAAAAAAGCGAAUUGAGUCUCUCAUUGAACGGGAGUUUUUAGAAAGGGAUAAAGCAGACAGGAAAUUAUAUCGAUAUCUUGCUUGAAUGUCACAUGAAGUUUCCUGUGGAUGGAGGUCUUACUCUCUGAUUUCCAUAUAACUGGUAUAUUUGUGUGAUACAGUUAGGGCACGAUGCUUGUCUUAAUGGGGAUCAUCCGUGUAAAAAACCUGCUGGCAAUUUCAAGAGGGAAAGAUGUUCAGAUUGAAGUUGUACCUGGAAAUAUCGAGUCUUGAUUAUGCUGGUGUAUCCAAAAAUGUCCUUUGAUAGCUGGAAGGCCAUUCUACAGGUUGAAGUCUUGUACUGGAAAGACUCAGAUGCCCAUGAAGUAAUAAGUUAGGGAGAAAAAGAAACCCAGAAUUAUGGGGUUCACUGUUCAAUCCACAAAUCUGGCAAUGGAGCAAUUCGUAGCAGUUAAUUCAAGCUCGUUCAAUAUGCUUGGCAAAGCCUUUAGUCGAACCUGCCCCUUGUGAUGCCAUUCUACAUGGAAGGCCAUUCUACAGGUUGAUCCUAAAAUUGCUGAAACCUGCUCUGAUCAAGCUUAGUCCAACCAAAGUGAGUACCCUUGUUUAGUUAUUUUAAAAGCAUGAUUGAGCUGGAAAAUCCCUUUGAUUCUUGAUCGGAUUUUCCAUCUAAAAUUUUUGUUUUGCUAAUUCUCCAAUGUGAUUGCAAACUUGAAAUGUUAAAAGAAUUUUUUUGCA